rnacentral:rRNA from 1 species
UACAGAGGGUGCGAGCGUUAAUCGGAAUUACUGGGCGUAAAGCGUGCGUAGACGGUUAUUUAAGUCGGGUGUGAAAGCCCCGGGCUCAACCUGGGAAUUGCAUUCGAGACUGAAUAGCUAGGGUACGGUAGAGGGAAGUGGAAUUUCCGGUGUAGCGGUGAAAUGCGCAGAUAUCAGGAGGAACACCAAUGGCGAAGGCAGCUCGCUGGGACGGUACUGACGCUGAGACGCGAAAGCGUGGGGAGCAAACAGG